rnacentral:lncRNA from 1 species
AUGUCUUAAAUACUACUAAAUUGGUAACAUUUGUACUAUGAAAUUAACAUGAAAAUUUAAAUGUCUUCAUAAUCACGCAUAUACACCUGUUGCCUUCCCAUAUUUUUUGAAUGAGAAUAGUGCCUGGGAUUACAGCAAAGAGGAAUCCUAUGAGUAAAGUAAACGAGAAGCAAGUAACAAACAACAGCUAAAUCUACUAGUCAGCCCAGGAAUGGUAACAGGAAUGCAGGAAGUUUUGGAAAGCAAAUAACAGCACAUGUUUCGAUCCCAAAUUCAAACAAAGUAAACAAGCCUAAGAGCAAUGCUAAAAAUUGCUUCUGAAAAUUCUAGCACCUCAAAAUGCAUAUGACUCAAUUCACCUUCAACUCAUAAUGAACAUAGUUUUGAUUAUUAUAGAAGAAUUUGCCAGGAAAACUUAAGAUUUUCUGGGAAUUGGUUUUCAGGUGGAUGUUCUCGAUCUUUUUUUUUUCCUCUAAAAUGUGUCUAUAUUUCUCUGAAUGUAUAUAUCUCAAUGUAUCUGUCUCUUUUUUAAACCAUCAGAUGACUCUUUUAUAGCCAAAGCCUUAGGGCAACAAAAAUCUUUUUGUUUUCUUUUUAGUCCUUUACCUAUUUUUCAAAUUUGCUUAAUUGAUCCCUUAUUUUCUAACUUGUGCCUCAAGUUUUGAGGAAGAAUUAAUAGAAAUUGCAUUUUGACCCUUCACUAGAAUGUUCCAGGAGUUUGUUACAAGAUUCUUAUGCUCAAAUACCCCAAUACCUCUGUCUUCCCUUCUUAAUUACUAACCUAGAUGUGUUAUACCCUGGUGCCUAUCCAUUUGGUCAGAAAUUGACCCUAGUUAACUACUUAAGGUCAUAAAACAAGGUUAUUUUAUCAGCUGGGAUCAAAUUCCGAGAAAGCUAGCCAUGACCAACUACUUAAUUGGAAACUAUACUAUACUAUGUAAAAACAAACAACAUAAGUAACGAAUCGAUGCAACACAUAUAUAUAGGCGGAUUUAAACAAGUAUCAGAAUAUGGAACCAAAUUACUCAGAAGAAAAUAAAGUUAAACAUCACACUUCAGAAACAAGAUUUAUCACAAAUGGACACUGAUCAAUUUUGAAACAAAAAUAACGGAAAGUUAAACUAUAGAUGACCAAUUCUGAGCUUAGCAUGAUAAUCCAAAGGAGUCGAAAGAGACAAAUAUGACUUCAAAAGAGAAGGGGGUCAUUCAGAAGCAUAUUAUCAAAACAUAAAACAAAUAGCAUGUGAUGGAAAUAAAGUAACUGAUCAGAUUUUUUUUUACAAAUGAGUAGAUGGAAUCAUUCAGAAGCAUAUUAUCAAAACUUAAAACAAAUAGCAUGUGAUGGAAAUAAAGUAACUGAUCAGAUUUUUUUUUACAAAUGAGUAGAUGGAAACAAAGUAACUAAUCGAAAUUUUUACAGAUGAGCAAAUGGAAACUAAAUAACUAAUCAGAAGUUUCUUUACAGAUGAGAAAAUAGAAACAAAGUAACUACUCAAAAAUUCUACAGACGAGCAAAUAGAAACAAAGCAACUACUCAGAAAUUCUACAGACGAGCAAAUGGAAACAAAGUAAUUAAUUAGACAGGCAAAUGGACAUUCAUGCACUUACACAAACGAAAAAAGAUAAAUUAAAAGGCAAUCAACAGAAUUCAGGGCACUUAGCUUAAUUACUGCUAUCCUAGAAAUUGGACCUUUCAAGUCCAACGGUUUUCAAGCAUUCUUGGGAAGGCUUGUUAACCUUUGAGACCCUUGUACCAUCGUUUGAGGGGGUAGGAGAGCAUAAAGUGUAGGGUUAGCCAGUUUGGGGGUGGGUCUGCGUUUCAGAUAUGAUUUUUGGCCAAAUCUAGUUACAUUCGAAGGUUGAUGGUCGUGGAUUUGCAUAAAGGAAGACGAGGAGGCCACCUGGGACCAUUUUUGAAGGAUUCUAGUGAGGUUGGGGUUUGGGUCAGAGUCUUGAUUCAAUAUUCGAGAAAAUUGGUGAGGGUUUGAGGGACGGGAUUUGGAGGGUUGGAAAGAGGAGAACGAGGCGGUUCAGGGGUGUUAAAUUGGACAUGUUAGGGGUUGGUGGCGACCAUUAGUUUGGAUAUUCGACGGGCUGGAGGAAUGUUUGAGGGAAUAUGAUAGUAGGAGUGGAAAGGGGAGGCUGCGAAGGUCCUACGGUGUAUAUUUGGGGCCAUUUGGUGGUCGCCGUAAAGCGAUUUUUGGGUGUGGUUUCAGGGUGGUGGAUGGCGGCGUUACAGGCCUCUUAUGAGUUGAAGGAGACGAGAGGGUGAGGGGGUCUGAGGGCGAUAUGGUAGCGUUAGGACAUAUUUAUAUUAAAAUCUCAUCAGUUCUCGACUGUUGAUCUGGCAAACCUCGACGGCAUGGAUCAAACGAGACUAAACGUCGUUGUUUUGGAGGGGGGCUGGAUAGGGUAAUUAUGCGGGUUUGGGCUGGGAACCGGAUUAAUUCAGGGGGUUUCGUUUGGGCUGGUUGGCCCAAAUUUUUUUGUUUUUGUUUUUCAUUCCUUUUCUUUUCUUAAUUCCUUUAUUCCAAAAAAAAAAUUAAACUAAACCCUAAGUUAAUUUUAAAAAUAAUUUAUACUACCAAGUCAAAUUAAUUAAGACUAACAAUUAUUACAAACUUAAUCAAAUAUCAUAUCACCAAGAAAACUACCAAAUAUUCACAAAUUCAAAACUUUAAACAUAGUAAACUACUUUUAGUGAUUUUUUUUAUAUUUUAUAAAAUUACUAAUUUUCUUAUUUAAUGCAAAGAUGUCAAAUUAAAUCCUAAAUGAAAAGGCACAUAUUUUUUAGUAUUUUUUAUGACUCACCAUGCACGCACCAGUAAAAUAUACACAAACAUGCACGAUUAAAUCCUAAAGAUUGAAUAAUACAAGGAGAAAUCCUAACUCUAGGAAUCAUGUUGGAGUAAUUUUGAGGAGGCAACCUGCCCGGACAUAAAAACAAACAAACGAACGAAAUUUUGUGCCCCAGCUUUCACCGGGAAAAUUUUGUGAGUUAUCUGCAACACAAAUCAAAGCUAUUUCUUUAUUGAGAACAACAAAAAUCAGGAUUGCGUAUCCUUUGGACUGAUUGCCAGGUUAUGUUGGGAAGGAGAAAGGGUCCCUGCGAGGGAUAAGAGGAGGAUCCACGGGUUAUGUCGGGAUAGGAAUGAAGGGUCCCUGCUGGGGAUGAAAGGAAAAGCCAUGGGUUAUGCCAAGAUGAACUGAAAAAACUUCCUGGGUUAUGUCGAAUAGAUCCGUGGGUUAUGCCGAGAUUGAAUGGAAAAUUCCUUGGUUAUGCCAGGUGGAAUCCGCGGGAUAUGCCGGGAUUGCAAGAAAAAUUCCUAGGUUAUGCUAGGGAGAUCCACGUGUUAUGCCGGGAUUGAAUGGAAAAUUCCUAGGUUAUGCUAGGGGAAUCCACGGGUUAUGCCGGGAUUGAGAGGAAAACUCCUAGGUUAUGCUAGGAUGAAUGAAAAAUUCCUAGGUUACGCUAGGAAAGAUCCACAGGUUAUGUCGAGAUUGAAUGGAAAAUUCCUGGGUUAUGCAAGGAUGAACAAAAAAUUCCUAGGUUAUGCUAGGGAGAUCCGCGAGUUAUGCCAGGAUGAAUGGAAGAUUCCUGGGUUAUGCCAGGGAGAUCCGCGGGUUAUGCUGGGAUGAAUGGAAAAACUCCUAGUUUAUGCUAGGGAAGAUCCAUGGGUUAUGCCGGGAUUGAAAAAAAAAUUCCUGGGUUAUGCUAGGGGAUUGGAAGGAAGUGGAGGGCCACAGAGAUCCUUUUGAAUAUGUUGGGGAUAGAGCAAGGAAGGAAAAACCCUUAGGUUAUGCUAAGGCCAGAAGAGCAUAACUCUCAGACUAUGCUGGGGAAUAAAGGUGGAAAAGGGGGUCCUCAGGUUAUGCUGGGGAUGGAAGAGGAAAUGGUUCCCCAGGUUAUGCUAGGGGUAUAAAGAGAAACCCCUAGAUUAUGCCGAGGAGCGAAAGAAAGAAAUUUCUUCGUCUGUGCUUGGGAGAGUGGAGUGAUAUCCUUGGGAUAUUCCAAGGAGGUCCACAAGUUGCACAAGGGAAGUCUAGGGAUGAGGCCCUAAUUCUGGGGAAGGAGUCAGGGGUCGGAGCCCCAUGCUACCAGGUUUAUUUAUGAAACUGCAGGAAAAGAUGUAAAGAAAACUUCCCUUUUUUGUGGGGUUAAGCUGGAAAGCGAGAGAAGGAAAUUUCUCGGUAUGUACUGGAGGGAGGGGAGUGCGAUCCUUGGGUUAUGCCUAGGAGAUCUGCAAGUUGCGCAGGGGAAGGCUAGGUAUAUGGCCCUAAGUCUGGGGAAGGAGUCAGGGAUUGGAGUCCCAUGCUAUCAUAUUUAUUUAUGAAAUUUCAGGAAAAGAAUGUAAAGAAAACUUCCCUUUUUGCUGGUUAUUGAUGCAACACUAUUCUUAGUCCCUGUGCCAUUCCUUUGAUUGUGUUUGUCAUGUGUUCCCUUUGUUUUUAGAUUACACAUGUGUCACGUUUUAGUUCAAAAAACAACUUGUUAGUUUGAAUAGUGAUUGGUUUGCGUCCUUGUUUUGCUUGAUUUCAGCCUCAUUUCUGUCGGAGGAAAACCCUUAACUUCCAAUCUUUGCCUCGUAGGUUGUUCGGGGGGUCCUCAUCUUUCAGAUUGGUGUUUUGUUUUACAAGCCCUUGGUUAUGAUUUUUGUCCCGAUUUCCACUUCGGGGCUUGCUCUUUGGGAUCUUUUGUAGGGACCAUUAACCUGCUUGGGCUUAACCUUUCCGAUCUUGAUUCGCCUUCGUGGGCUCUCAACUUUGAAUUUCUUUCUCUCUAUUUUCCUGCUUUUGAAGCUUUCGCUGUCAUGAUCAGCCAGGGUUGGCUAAAUACGUAUGCUGAUACCGGAUAUUCCUUUUAGUUCUUUCCAGGAGAAAACCUGUGAGGCCGGUCCUGCUACCUUCUCUUGUGGAAUGGUCAGGACAUCAAAGUUAAAGAGAAAAGGAGUGGGAGAAGCAACAAAACAAACACAUGGAUUUAGAGAGGUAUGUAUCUUUUUGGGGAAAAGGGGAGGACUUAUCUGGAAGUGCGUGCUGACUUUAAAUGGAAACGACAUGCUUCUUGGACUAGAUGCGUGGCCCAGAUCCAUUUCUGCUUUCUGAUUUCAAUCUUUCAAAACCAAGGAAACUUGUUCAGGCUUGGGGUGGUGAUAUUUCCUCUUUUCAGCUGACGACACCCUUUGCGGGUUUUUACCAAUCAGCCUCUCUCAUUUCUCUUCUCCCGUCGCCCGAUAGCGCUCUUUGUGAGUUUUUACUAAACAGACUAUCUCAUUUCGUUUUUCCCUGCUCACCGUCGCCUUAUAGUGCCCGAAGAUUUUCACCGAUAAGACUCUCUCAUUUAUUUCUCUCAAAUUGUGUUGUGUUGAAUCCCAACAAUGAUGUUUGUCACGUCCUUGUUCUGGCCAAUUGAUUGGAAGGACUUGGACCAGGAUCUUGAGUGAAGGAAAUUGGAUGGAAAUUUACAACUUUGGAAUCAUUUAGGCGGGUUUACGACCGAAACAAUACAUCUCUGCCCCAGUUUUAUUUCUUGGGGAACUGAGGGUUUUAUUUUUAUAUGACUGAACCUCAGGGAGAGACUGCCAACGUAUCCUUUCGGAAUCAAGUCAGACGUAGUUCAGGAAGUGUUUCUUCUUCUUUUUUUCCUUUAUGUUUUUUUCUUCUUUUUUUUUCUCUUCUCUUUUUUUAUAUAUUUUGAAUAGAAAUUCUGGGUUCCAAAGAGGGUGAACAAAGAAACGCGAUCGGCUCAAAGGGUCUGCGAAGGAUUGGUCGUGUUUAGGGUAGUGGGAAAGAAAGCCUUUGUCAUUUCCACCAGCCAUAGUCAUUGCAAUAGGGAGUUCAAACGUAAUGUCUUUUUACUACAUCUGUGUUUACUGCCAUCUCGGGCUCGUCUCCUUCAAUGUCACCUAGGUACAAUGCUCCUUUGGGCAGUAUCUUUCUGAUAAUGUAUGGACCUUUCCAAUUUGGAGCAAAUUUUCCUUUAUCUUCCUGAUGGUGAGGGAGAAUAUGCCUCAAUACCAGUUCUCCGACUUCAAAAUUCCUAGGGUGCACUUUCUUGUUGUAAGCGCAGGCCAUUCCUUGUCAAUAUAACUACCCGUGACAAACCGCGACCAUCCAUUUUUCAUCAAUUAACGACAACUGCUCCAACCGAGUUUUAACCCACUCGCUAUCCUCGAUUUCUGCUUCAACAAUUACUCGGAGCGAAGGGAUUUCUACCUCUGUGGGUAUGACAGCUUCAGUCUUAUAGACCAGUAAAUACGGGGUUGCCUUUACCGAUGUGCGCAUUGUGGUGCGAUAUCCUAGCAAUGCAAAAGGCAGCUUUUCAUGCCAUUGUCUUGAGAUUUGAAUCAUUUUUCUCAAGAUCUUGAUGUUCUUGUUAGCUGCUUCGACAGCACCAUUAUCUUUGGUCCGGUAAGGGGUGGAGUUUCUAUGUGUUAUCUUAAAUUGCUCACAUACUUCUCCCAUUAGAUGAAUAUUUAGAUUGGCUGCGUUGUCUGUAAGGAUGGUUGUGAGGAUACCGAAACGACAGAUGAUGUUUGGAAUGCACAAAAUCUACCCCAGCUUUCUUGGUGGCAGAUUUAAGUGUGAUAGGCUCAACCCAUUUUUUGAAGUAAUCAAUAGCAACCACUAUGAAUCUAUGUCCAUUUGAGGCUUUUGGCUCAAUCGGCCCAAUGACAUCUAUUCCCCAGGCAGCGAAUGGCCAGGGUGCUGACAUAGGAUGAAAUUCGGUUGGCGGUGCAUGAAUAAAAUCACCGUGCGCCUGACAUUGAUGACAUUUUCGAACGAAGCUGAAGCAAUCUUUCUCCAUGGUCAUCCAAUAAUACCCUGCUCGAAGUAUUUUCUUUUCUAGGACAUAUCUGUUCAUAUGAGGUCCGCACACCCCUGAGUGUACUUAAUGCAUAAUUCUUCCGGCUUCCUCGGUGUCAACACAUCUCAGCAAAUUGAGAUUGGGGUCCUUUUGUAUAAAGUAUCACCACUUAAGAAGAAAUUGCCCGCGUGCCGUUGGAUGGUUUUCUUUUGCUACCUGGUAGUUUGCUCGGGAUACUCUUUUGUUUUCAGGAAUCUCUUGAUGUCAUAAUACCGGUGCUGUGUACUGGACUCUGCUUCGGUCACAUUACAAUACCCAUGCCUUUCUUUGAUUUGGAUUUCCAGAGGAUCAACGUAGGUGUUUUCGAUGUAAGGCAACAUGGAAGCAAGGGUUGCGAGUGCGUAUGCUAGCUCAUUGUGACAACGAUGAAUGUACCUGAAUUGUACCGACUUGAACCGUUUGCUGAGGUCAUCUACAUGUUGUCUAUAGGGGAUGAGUUUAACGUCUCUUGUUUCCACUCUCCUUGAGCCUGUUGGAUGAUCAAAUCUGAAUCCCCCAUGAUUAACAAUUCCUCAACAUCUUGAUUAAUGGCCAUGUUCAUGCCCAUGAAGCAAGCCUCGCAUUUAGCUGUAUUAUUAGUGCAGAAACACCGGAGCCUAGCUGUAGCCGGGUAAUGCUGACCCGUGGGUGAGAUUAAAAUUUCCCCAAUCCUUACGCCCUUUUGCAUUUACAGCUCCGUCGAAGAACAUAUUCCAAGUGGGGAUGUCUUCAGAUGUUAUUUCCACCGAAUUCACUUCUUUAUUAGGGAAAUAAGUAUUCAAAGGCUGAUAUUCAUCGUCAACUGGAUUCUUGGACAGAUGAUCUGCUAAUGCUUGAGCCUUCAUUGCGGUACGAGUGACAUAAACUAUGUCAAACUCUCAUGGAGUUUUCAGGUUACUCUGUUGGACAGAAAUGGAGUUUUAUCGGUGGUUUGAAGGUAAAAUAUGUCAAACUCGGUGAGCAUGAUCUGCCAUAUUGCCAAUCGCCCUGUGGGCAUCGAUUUUUGGAAUAUAUACCUCAGUGGAUCCAACCUGGUUAUGAGGUAGGUGGUAUGAGCUUGCAGGUAAUGCCUCAACUUCUGGGCGACCCCGCGAAGGGUGUUGAAGGGAGUUUUUUCAAUUUAAGGACAAUCAAAAUGGGAUUUAUUUUAUUUUAGAGAUUUUAGACUUGCCACUUGCGAUAAUUAAUGGUAUCCCAAGUCACCGGCUUAAAUCCAUAAUCGAGAAAAGUUUGACUCUGUUUAGCAAUCAGCGAACCAGAAAUCCGGGUAAGGAAUUCUGUUAACCCGGGAGAAGGUGUUAGGCACUCCCGAGUUCCAUAGUUCUAGCACGGUUGCUUUGACCAUACUUGACUUAUAAAAUUAUUUAAUUACUGAUUUUAGAACCUAUGUUCUUUUGCUUCUUUCACCGCUUUUAAUUAAGAAAAUUAUCUUGAAACGGGUCAUGCUUACGUGUAUCCGUUUGUUUGGCGCGUCAAAAAUCAUGUCACGCAAACGUGUCCACAAUUAAUAACGCCUUGUAAUUAUUAAGAAAGUUUGGCCGAAGUUGCGCGAACACAUACUCCUGUUUUAUAUUUAGAAAUCGUAAUCAUGUCACGCGAACGUGUCCACAAUCACAAUGAUAUAUUAAAUCGACCUAGAGCAACUAGGAGCAUUUUUUAUUUUUAUAUCUAGGUUUUGAAGUUAAUAAAAGGUCCAUAGAUGAUUAAAUGAAAGAUGGCACUCCUCGGACUAUAUAAACUAAAAUUAAUUUAGAGGCCUAUUAAGACAAUUUUAGUAUUAAGCAAGUUUGUGAAAGUUGCACAAACACAUACUCUGAAUUGAUUUUUAGAAUUGUAAUCAUAUUUCGCAAAUGUAUACACAAUCACAAGGGAUUAAUUAAGAGGAUACCUAAAGCUUCUAAUGUGUUUAUGAAUAUUAUUAGAUCUAAAUACUAAUUGCAAAUAAGUUGUAUCCUAUAGAUUGUGCCUCUCCAUUUUUCUUGUCAGGUCACCGAAAUUUCGUUCUCCAUUUUUCUUGUCAGGUCACCGAAAUUUCGUAAAGUACAUUUACUCCACAAUGUUUAAUUGCACGGCACCACUAUGUGACAGUCUUUACGCUAUAUAUAUUUUAAGGACUAAAAUUAGCAAAUAUACCUCAGUAACUAAAUAAGUUAGAAUUGGCUAUCACCAACAUAUACCACUACUAAUGAAAUGGUGUGCAUGAUCAAGUUUGUAAGUCUGACAUCAAAUACGCAUAUUAGGCUUAGACUAAUCGUUCUUUGCUUAGCCACUCAGCCAGCCUCCGAAAACUGAGUAGUAAACUAAUUUUUGAUUCGGUUUUGACAAUGUCUAGCCUCUCGCUAUCUCUUUAUCUAGCAAAAUUAGGUGGUAAUUGUUACUAACUAUUACUGUUUAGAUACAGGCAACACUAAAUGAAAAUAAGACUACUACAAUUAACAUGCUUUCAACCAAAAAUGAAAAAAAAAACAUGUACUAACAAAAUAUACAAAGAAUAAAAUAGUGAAGAGGGAGAACUAGACCUUCAUUACUGUAAAACCAUCUUCAAUGUAAUAGAGGAACUCCAUAGAAGUUUGAACAACAGCUAUAAACCGCGACAGACUCCCGACCAGAAACAUCAUCAGCGAACUCAAACUCGACGCUAAUAGGCAUGAAAGAGGGCUGUUUUCGUGGGGUUUCUCAAGCUAAUUUUGUAUGCGUUUCUGGCUGAAAAUUUGGACUGUUUCAAGGUGUGACGCAUCUGCAUUUUUUGGGAAUUGUUUCAAGUGUUUUCGCUUAUUCUGCAGCUGCUUUUCAGUUGGCUUUGUGGGCUAGUUGCAGCUAGUUUUUGCUGCGUUUUUAGGAGGUUGCGGGUAUAGUGUUUGAGCUGGAAUCUUAGCUAGUUUUCAUGGAGUUUUCAGGUUACUCUGUUGGACAGAAAUGGAGUUUUAUCGGUGGUUUGAAGGUGAUGAAGCUGCUGUGUUUUUUGGAACUUUGAAAGGGAAGGUUGCUGCAGAAGUUUUAUGAAGGAGGCCGUUGGUGUUGAUUUCAAAAUGAGGUUUAUUGGUUGCUCGUUCAGAGAGGGCCUCUUCUGUUUUUCGAUCUCCCUCCCUUUUUCAUUUC